UACGAAGGGGGCUAGCGUUGCUCGGAAUGACUGGGCGUAAAGGGCGCGUAGGCGGCUAGAUGUGUCAAAGGUGAAAUCCCUCGGCUCAACUGAGGAACUGCCUUUGAAACUGUCUGGCUUGAGGCCGGGAGAGGGUAGCGGAAUUCCCAGUGUAGCGGUGAAAUGCGUAGAUAUUGGGAGGAACACCAGUGGCGAAGGCGGCUACCUGGACCGGUUCUGACGCUGAGGCGCGAAAGCGUGGGUAGCAAACAGG
rnacentral:rRNA from 1 species